UACGUAGGGAGCAAGCGUUGUCCGGAAUCAUUGGGCGUAAAGCGCGCGUAGGUGGCUUCAUAAGUCCGUUGUGAAAGUCAAAGGCUCAACCUUUGAAAGCCGAUGGAUACUGUGAAGCUAGAGUACGGAAGAGGCGAGUGGAAUUCCUGGUGUAGCGGUGGAAUGCGUAGAGAUGUGGAGGAACACCGAUGGCGAAGGCAGCCUCCUGGGCCAACACUGACGCUCAUGCACGAAAGCGUGGGGAGCAAACAGG
rnacentral:rRNA from 1 species